rnacentral:tRNA from 1 species
AUUCAUUUAGUAUAAAAAGUAUAUAAAGAUUCCAACUUUAAGGUUUUCAAAAAUGAAUA